UUGAGUUUGAUGAUGGCUCUGAAUGAACGCUGUCCAAAUGCUUGACACAUGCUAAUCGAACGACUAGGUUUAAUAAUUAACUAGUAGUGGUGUACAGGUGAGUAUAAGAUAACACAACCGCCUUGGAGUAAGGAGAAAGAUCCCUUAUAAUAACAAAGAAACUUAGGUUUUGCUCUUAGAAGUGUGUAUCUCGUGUAGUUGUAGUAGUUAGGGUAAAAGCUUAACUAGCUUUAUACACGUAGUCGAAACUGAGAGGUUGAUCGAUCACAGUGGGCCUGAAUAAAGCCCACGAUGAAAAUUACAGCAGUGAGGAAUAUUGGUCAAUAGCCUAACGGCUGAACCAGCAACUUGGAGGAAUGUAUAGCGAAAGCUAAUUGUAUCAAUAUAUAGUUGAUGCAAUAUCGACUAAGUUGAAUAAAAUUCUAGGUAGAAUUAUGAUAAUGACAUUUUCUGCCUAUGUGUCUUGACCAAAUUACGUGCCAGCAGUCGCGGUAAUACGUAGAAGACUAGUGUUAUUCAUCUUUAAUUGGUUUAAAGGGUACCUAGACGGUAAAUCAAGCCUUCAAGGGGACUAAUUUACUAGAGUUACUUAUGAGGGGGCAGUAAAGUACUGCUGGUGUAGAGAUGAAAUUCUGUCAUACCUAAUUCAUAUAACGUCUUCUAGACGAAAGAACCUACGGCACAGGUAUAGGCGAAAGCAUCUCCUUAUGUGAUAACUGACGUUGAGGGACGAAGGCUUUGUGUAGCGAACAGGAUUAGAUACCCAAGUAGUCAAAGCAGAAAAUGAUGAAUGUCAUAGAUUAGACAUAUAGUUUAUUCUAUAAAUGAAAGUGUAAGCAUUCCACCUCAAGAGUAAUUUGGCAACAUUGGAACUGAAAUCAUUAGACCGUUUCUGAAACCAGUAGUGAAGUAUGUUGUUUAAUUUGAUAGUCCUCAAAAAACCUUACCACAAUUUGAAUAUUUAUGUUUUGAUUAGUUCUGUUUUUAAAACUUGUUUCAUAAAAACAAGAAAAUAUAUAAAACUAAGUUUUUUUGUUAAUAAUAAACGGGCUGGAACUAAUUAAGACAUAUCUACAAGCGUUGCACGGCUGUCUUCAGUUAAUGUCGUGAGAUUUUGGUUAGUUCCAUUAAAUUAACGUAAACCCUUACUUUAUUUUUAGAUAAAGUAGUUCCCCAAUAUAUUGGAUAAGAUAACAGGGACUAAGACAAGUCAUCAUGGCCUAAACCUAUUGUGGGCUAUAGACGUGCUACAUAGGCCUUACAAAAGGGUGUGAAAUUGCGAAAUUGAACUAAUCCCCCAAAAACGGAGAUACACUAACAAUGGAUUACAGUCUGUAACUCGACUGCGUGAAAAAGGAAUUACUAGUAAUCGUGUAUAAGUACGGCACGGUGAAUCUAAUCUCAGAUAGGUACUAACUACUCGUCAGGCGCUGAAAGAAGUGUGUGCAAUAAGUUUGGCUAGUGUUUACUUUCAAUUUGGGCGAUUUGGUCCAAAAACUUAGACAUGCGGUCUUCGUAUGCGUGACUUUGAUUGGUGUUAAGUCGAGUGUUUACUUUCAAUUUGGGCGAUUUGGUCCAAAAACUUAGACAUGCGGUCUUCGUAUGCGUGACUUUGAUUGGUGUUAAGUCGAAAUAUGGUUCGUGUAGUGGAAGUUGCACGGG
rnacentral:rRNA from 1 species